rnacentral:rRNA from 1 species
ACCCUACGGGACGCAGCAGUGGGGAAUAUUGCACAAUGGGGGGAACACUGAUGCAACAAUGCCGCGAGGGUGAAGAAGCACUCCGGUGCGUAAAGCCCUGUCAGCAGGGAAGAAAAUGACAGUACCUGGACAAGAAGCCCCGGCUAACUACGUGCCAGCAGCCGCGGUAAUACGUAGGGGGCAAGCGUUAUCAGGAUUUACUGGGAGUAAAGGGAGCGCAGGCGGCGUUGCAAGUCAGAUGUGAAAACCCGGGGCCCAACCCCGGGAGUGCAUUUGAAACUGCCAUGCUGGAGUGCAGGAGAGGU